rnacentral:rRNA from 1 species
GUAGGGGGGCGAGCGUUGUCCGGAUUUAUUGGGCGUAAAGAGCUCGUAGGCGGCUCAGCAAGUCGGCCGUGAAAGCCUGAGGGCUCAACCUCAGGACGCCGGUCGAAACUGCUGUGGCUAGGGUCCGGUAGAGGAGAGUGGAAUUCCCGGUGUAGCGGUGAAAUGCGCAGAUAUCGGGAGGAACACCAGUAGCGAAGGCGGCUCUCUGGGCCGGCACCGACGCUGAGGAGCGAAAGCUAGGGGAGCAAACAGGAUUAGAUACCCUGGUAGUCCUAGCCGUAAACGUUGGGUACUAGGUGUGGCGGAUUCAUUGACAUCUGCCGUGCCGAAGCUAACGCAUUAAGUACCCCGCCUGGGGAGUACGGUCGCAAAGGCUA